rnacentral:rRNA from 1 species
UACGUAGGGGGCAAGCGUUAUCCGGAUUUAUUGGGCGUAAAGAGCUCGUAGGCGGCCGUUCGCGUCGGAUGUGAAAGCUCAGGCUCAACUCUGAGACGCCAUUCGAUACGGGACGGCUAGAGGUAGGUAGGGGAAAGUGGAAUUCCUGGUGUAGCGGUGAAAUGCGUAGAUAUCAGGAGGAACACCUGCGGUGUAGACGGCUUACUGGACCAUAACUGACGCUGAGGCACGAAAGCGUGGGGAGCAAACAGG